CCAGCCCUGCUGCUAGUGUGGCGGGGGUGGCGGGUGUGGGUGUUAUGCUGCAGAAACAUACAUCAAUCGAAGUUGAAGGUCGAAGGUCCAAUAAAAAGCACUGCGUUUGAAAUGGCUGAAGAAUCUACGACUACGCGUCCUAUCAGGCUUAUGAAUUUUGUUUCCAGGACCAGCAAAAUCGAAAAUGGUUUGGAGCAGUUGGAUGAAGCAAAGAGAACAAGGAGUGAGCGUGUGGAAGAUGGCACUGCUUAGAGGGACAGACCCCUUUACGAGAUCUUAAAGGAAAAUAAAGACAAGCGGGAUGCUGAGUCAAGCGGGAUGCUGAGUUUAACGAACGCUUCAAGCACAGACCCCCCCAAAUCUCUCGACGAAGAUGAGACUGAGUUUCUUGACAAGUUAGAGCUGGUAAGUCUCAUGUAAUUGUAUUCAUUGAUAAAACCAACACCAUUACUGCAAGGAUCAGGGCCCUUGAUUAGUAAGUUUGAAUUGAUUAUGAACUUUGAUCAAAGUUUUUAAGUAUAAUUAAUUCCCUAAAGUCAAA